AUUGGUAAUAGAUAAAUUCUGUACCAAAUAGGUCAUAUUCCAAGUAGCAUCCAAGUUUAGCAAAUUCCAGAAGUUUCUUUGUAUCAAAUAUGCUCCUGUCGAGGUGAGACAUGACUGUUUUGGAAGCGUCAGCCCCAGCUUCCUGCAGGAUACGAACUAUCUGGAAGGGUGCAUCGCUGUGCCUGCCAGGGUGGAUGAUGAUGGGGCACCCGAUCUGUGCCUGUGCGUGUGCAGUCGCCUGCAGCACCCUGCGCUCGCUUGCAGUCAUGGGCCAGGAGCAGCCGAUCUCUCCCACCACUCCACACCUGAUGUCAGUCCCAUCUGCUCCAUGGAGGAUCUCAUCAACAAUGAUGUCUGUGAGCUGCUCCACUGUCAUAGCCUGUGUUUGAGAAGAAUGCGUGGAAUCCACAUAAAACCCUGCCCCAGCAAUAAUAUGGACUCCAGUUUCUUCAGAGAGUUUCUUCAAAGUCUUCAUAUCCCGACGGAUUCCCGUGGUCGUGUUCUCCACAACAGUCCCACCACCUGCUGCUUUAAAAUGCAGCAGCUCCUCCCUCA
rnacentral:lncRNA from 1 species